GAACCAUACCAAACUGUUGCCUCGGCGGGGUCACGCCCCGGGUGCGUCGCAGCCCCGGAACCAGGCGCCCGCCGGAGGGACCAACCAAACUCUUUUCUGUAGUCCCCUCGCGGACGUUAUUUCUUACAGCUCUGAGCAAAAAUUCAAAAUGAAUCAAAACUUUCAACAACGGAUCUCUUGGUUCUGGCAUCGAUGAAGAACGCAGCGAAAUGCGAUAAGUAAUGUGAAUUGCAGAAUUCAGUGAAUCAUCGAAUCUUUGAACGCACAUUGCGCCCGCCAGUAUUCUGGCGGGCAUGCCUGUCCGAGCGUCAUUUCAACCCUCGAACCCCUCCGGGGGGUCGGCGUUGGGGAUCGGGAACCCCUAAGACGGGAUCCCGGCCCCGAAAUACAGUGGCGGUCUCGCCGCAGCCUCUCCUGCGCAGUAGUUUGCACAACUCGCACCGGGAGCGCGGCGCGUCCACGUCCGUAAAACACCCAACUUCUGAAAUGUUGACCUCGGAUCAGGUAGGAAUACCCGCUGAACUUAGCAUAUCAAUA
rnacentral:rRNA from 1 species